rnacentral:rRNA from 1 species
CCUGGCUCAGAUUGAACGCUGGCGGCAUGCCUUACACAUGCAAGUCGAACGGCAGCGGACCUUCGGGUGCCGGCGAGUGGCGAACGGGUGAGUAAUAUAUCGGAACGUACCUUCAGUGGGGGAUAACGUAGCGAAAGUUACGCUAAUACCGCAUAUUCUGUGAGCAGGAAAGCAGGGGAUCGCAAGACCUUGCGCUGAUUGAGCGGCCGAUAUCAGAUUAGCUAGUUGGUGAGGUAAAGGCUCACCAAGGCGACGAUCUGUAGCGGGUCUGAGAGGAUGAUCCGCCACACUGGAACUGAGACACGGUCCAGACUCCUACGGGAGGCAGCAGUGGGGAAUUUUGGACAAUGGGCGCAAGCCUGAUCCAGCCAUGCCGCGUGAGUGAAGAAGGCCUUCGGGUUGUAAAGCUCUUUCGGCCGGGAAGAAAUCGCACAGGUUAAUACCCUGUGUGGAUGACGGUACCGGAAUAAGAAGCACCGGCUAACUACGUG